AAGAGAUUGAAAAAUGUGAGGUCACAGCCUACUAACAUUACCUAUUCUACACCAACUGAAACUCAUUGAUAUGUUAUAGUCUGGCACACUGUGAAGGGUGAGAUAGAUUUUUAAGAAUUGGCCAACCAUUGAAAUUAUUUCAUUUAAGAAUGAAAAAUGAUGACGUAUCAUUAUGCACUGGAUUAUUACUAUACUAAGGAAAUGAACGCAACAAAGGAAUAUUCCAUUGUGUAAUAGAUUGGACUGGCUUUCAAUUGGUUAUUACUAGACCCUCAACGAGAAUGUUGCCACGAUAAGAUCAUGCUUCAACAUCGUUCCAUCCUCCAUGAUUACUGGAUUUUUAUUGGAUAAGAACGGAUGUUAUUUGUAUAAAAAUAGGAAAGAAAAACAUCUUAGAAUUCAAGAAUAUCAUUCGAUAAUAUGUAUUCGUUAGUUAGUCGAUGGUUUCUCAUCCGAAAGAUUCAUUAUGCACGUAAAGAUUGAGAAAAACAAGAGAACUAUUCAAGAGAUCAUCUGAAGGGAUAUCGAAGAAUAUAGCUGCAGUAAAUAUGUAUAGAUGAAAGAGAGUAAAUUUAUCUAUCGAAUCUGCUAGUCUAAUAACAAUCGUAGAGGAGGAGAAAAGCAGUUUAUUACAAAUAAUACUUAAGAAGAAUUGACACUGAAAAUUUUGUGGAAACCAAUGGUAAGAAAGCUCAUGUUGGUUCAUUGUCAUGGAGUUUUGUUUCAUCAAUCAUGCGGAACAUAUUUUCUGCUAAUUGAAUAUGGAAAUUGGUUUGUUUCAUGGUGGUAGAACGAUCGUUGAUGAAAGAAGAAUAAGAUGCGGACCACGUUUUUGUAUUAAUCUUGCUAUAGCAAUCUAUCUUCACACGUACGUUUAUCUAUUCAAUGGUCGAAUUUUGCGAUAGACGCUUUGGUAAGUAAAUGUAUCGUUGAAUAGUAUAAAUAUGAGGAUGCCUGAAAAACAAAAUAAUCAUCUUAGGGAUCCGUCAAUUAAAGUUUUUGUACUUCCAGUUUCCAAGCUUUUUAUGAAAAAGAACAAAAAAUCCAGAUGCUAAAGCAUCAUCGAAGAUUCUAGAGAGUGAUAUUUAUAAUAACGAUAGUAAGAAGCGUAAACCAAAGCAGUGGCUUAUUUAAGAUUUUUAUUUGGCGAUAAUUUGAACGGUUGGAACGAAUAAGUGAUUAAAUUUAUUGCAAUACUGAUUUCAGAUUUUUCAUUAACUAAAUACUUAUUAUAUUAUGAACAAAAGCUCGAUCACUGAAUCUAAUGUUUAUAGCAUUAAAUGGCGAGACAAUUUUCAUUAGCGAACUGGAUAUUUUUUUUCGAAGGAUAUGCCGAUUAUUUAUUUCGACAAAAUUUACGUAUAGUCGAGUUAAAAGAAGAAAACGGAUAGAUGAUUACCGGAUUGUAUUCUCGAAUGUCUGAAGGAGGAAUGAAUUAAAGAGUCAGCUGAAUCAAUUAUUUAACAUGUAUGAUUCGUCCAGUCAUUAGAAACAAAAUAAGAACUAGUUUUAUUAAUUACGUUUGAACCUUUUUAACAUUUAAUAAAAUAAAAGUUGUUAUCAACCAGAAAA